CCAAAGGAGUCCACUGUGGCUGGAACAGGGGAAGCAGAGGAGAUGGCUCAAAAUGAAGUUUGAGGGGAUUUUGAAGGGGUUCUAAAGCCAGUGCUACUCUCUUUGUGGUCUGUACAUGGGCUGCUGGUCUGCAGACUAUUGCCUACCUGUCUGUGAUAAGAAAAAGAGCUUGUGCAGAAGUAAAGCAACGAUGUUCCCUGGAACGUUUUUCACUGUGCUGAUUCACACACAUAUGUAGCGAUGACUUUCUCAGUGAAAGAAGAAUCGGGCAGCUUUACACUGAUGUUCCGAUGUCAGUUCAUUAUAGACCAACACUCUGAGCAUUCAGCGGGCGAACCCUGAAGGAUUUUCAGUGUCCCUGAGUAUGUAUUUGGUGGUGAAGGAGUUUCUGGGAGGAGGUUAUGCUGUGAUGAAAUUCACUUCUCCGAUGACUUCUGUGACUACAGAACAGCGCGUGGAGUGGGCAGGAGGUCCAGGUCAGUCAGGACCAGCAGUCUAGGGAGCCAUGGCCAUGGCCUGACCUAGAUGGGAGCAGCGGAAGAGGAAGAUUGGUGCACAGAUCACGCUCUUUUUUGAGAAAGAAUCAGUAGGAUUUUCUCAUGGAUGCGGGAUGGGGAGUUAAGAGGGCAACUUGACCUCCAGGUUUCUGCUCUGAACAGCCUUUUGAAUAUUCAUACCAUUGAUUGAGACAGAAAUAGUUGAGGACAAAUGAGUUUGAAAUUGAGGAGGUGUUGUGCCUAGACAUUAAUAGUAGUACAUAGAAUAGUGGAUUGUAAAAAAAAUCUAGAACCUUUAUGAAAUCUCCAAAUUAAUAAAUACUAGCUAGCACAGUCCAUAUUUUUUUCUCAUAAAGUUUUUUUUUUUUGGAGAGUGAGGAAAAUAAAGAUAAAAAGUUGUGUCGAGGUGUAGAUAUUGGGAGGGGUUAGGCUCCUUCAUCAGUUGAGAGAUCUUUUCAUGAUAAGUGAUUUCACUACAUGGCUAAGCCAAGUUAACAAAGCGACCGUGAUCUUGAAGGGCGCUUCUGAACGACUGAAAUUAUGGAAUUAUAUCCGUGAAUGCCAAGGGCACGACAAGGGUGAGGACUAAGUUUCAUCUUAACUGUCAACUCUGAUUAAUUUGUAGUGACUGCUCAGAGAACUCUUUUGGAGGCUACAUCUGGAUUGAAUGAAAAGACUGCUGUCAUCGAUUUUUCAGUGAAUACGUUGGAGGCAGGAGGAAUGGUGGCAGAGGGCAGGCCACGUAUUUGCUGACCCUCUGCAUCUUUCAGGUAUAGAAAAUGAGUUGGAGAAAAGUCUCAGCAUGGGUGGCAGUGGAUAUGUCAUUCCCCAAACUGCAAAAUGGAACAAGCACUAACCUUUGAAGGGAGCCGUCUGUGUAAUCAGAACUUGGAACAGAUUCCAGAAACUGGAACACAGUGUUGCUACUCUUUCUUCCUCUGACCAUGAUACUGGAACCAAAGCUGCCUGAUAAAAACUCAGAUGCCCUCUGGGAUGUCGACACAGUUGGGCUCUGGGAUCCAUUAGGCAUAAGAAAACAACCUCAUGAAGACUGGGCAGGUUUUGUGGGUCUGACUGGCCUAACUGCCAUGGAGUCGAACUAUAUGGCUGCACCUGGUGGCAUGGUGGGCCCUUCCCAGUGUCUCUCAUUUUAUUCUAGGCACGAAGACUGUUUUGCUGUUUACUCAUUUUACUUUAAUUUGGCUUUAUCGUCUCUUCUCCCGUAUCUGAACUUUUCCCAGCACGUGGAGGCCUUUUGCUUUCCUACCCAAAAGAAGAUUCUGUUAACUGUGUGAAGUAUUUUGGGUUGCCAAGGAAACAGAAGACUAGUCUGGACUCAUCAGAGAGUGGCAACAUUUUGACGGACCAUGGGGAAGGGUGCUGCCAAGCUCUGCUCAGGUAGCGGAGAUGGAAAGGCUGAGGUGUGGUGGUAGGGAUGCUCACCCAGGGAUUCUGCCAUGCCCUCAUGAAUAAUAACCAUCAUCAUUAUGAACGUGGUGAAGCAGAAGGGGAAUAAUGAGUUGAGGAAGUUGAUAGAAAAAGUCACAUCAGUUUUAUGGCCAGAAGACGUGGUGGACAACUUCAUUUUCUAGUGGAGAGAGAUGGUGAUUUUUAUAACUUAGAAGUGUUUGUCAAGGAACUGCAGAAUCCACAGCUGAACAAGAGGAAAAACAGGGCUCAGUUAGUCCCUGACACUGUGCUUGAUAGACAUUUGCUGAAUGAAGAGAUGGAAACAUCGUGAAUGAGUGGAUGAAUGAAGGGAAAAUCUGAAAUGAGACCAGUCUGCACCACAUGUGGGAUAGGACAGAAGCAUGCUGAGUUUGGAGAAGACUCAAUUUUGCUAUGCAGCCUGGGUCCAGAUGUAUGAAGGACUCUCAGAUGACGGAUGGAUUGCUUUGCUUAUAAGCCUAAAAAUGGAGAAUUGUAAUUAACGAGUAAAAGCUACAGUGAGGGAUGUUGGACUCAUCAUGUGGGUGUGGGGAAACACUAAAGAACUUCAAGCAGUGGGGCUGUAUGACCACUCUGGAAAUGGACGUGGGGGAAUAGUGGGAGAGUGAAACAAGUCUGGGAAAAGGGAGGCCACUUAGAACAUGACUGCGAAAUCCCAGGAGGGAGAUAAUGAAGCCCUGCUUGCAGUUCUGGGCAUUGAAAUCUCAAUGUGUUGCCCUUUAAGCUUUGCUAACAGGGAUUUUCUGUUUAAAUAUCUGGCGAACUACCCUGUGGACUUGACUGAAGCACUCCAGACAAGGCAUAACUAUGGCUCAUAAAUAGUUUCUAUAGUGUAUGAGGAUCAAUGGAGCAUUAAGGAGGCCUUUCUUCUGAUGGGCGUGAUCUAAAGGCAGAACAGUAGGCACAGACGGAACUCUCAUUGAUUGCAUGCCAACUGUGUAUCAGGAACAGUGCCAAUUUCAUGUACUUCGUUUACUUUGAUUAAUUUAAUCAUGGCAGCCACUCUCUGAAGAAGUCACUGUUCACUCAUUUUGGAGAUGAGAGAAUUAAAGAAAACUGAAGCUUGUAGGGUAAUGUGAUUUGACCGGUAUCAUGUAUUCUAUCAGUUACCUUUUGCCACAGUCAUGCUACAUACAAAUAAUUGCAAAACCUAGCCUUAAAAUAGUAACUAGUUAUUUAGUUCAUAAAUCAGCUGGACUGAGCUGGGAAGUUCUUCCGGUCUGAGCUGUGCUUACACGCCUGGGAGUCAGUUGACUGUCAGCAGAUUAGGAUUGUUUCAGCUGGGAAAAUUAGGAGGCCUUAGCUAUGUCCUCCUGGCCUCUCAGCAUCCAGUAGGCUAGCCCUGGCAUGUUCUCAUGGCAGUGGCUGAAGACAAGAGCACAACUGGAAACAUGCAAGCAUCUUUUUAACCCUCUGCUUACAAUAUGUCUGGUAACAACCUGUUGGCCAAAGCAAGUCGUUUGGUAGUGCCUAGCAUCAGAACUUGGACACAGGAAAGGGUGAAGAAUUGGGAGAUUAAUGCAGUCUAUCAACUUGUCUAGUAAAUGCUAAGAUUUAAACCCAAGGUCCCAGCAGACCAAUUUUUGUGCACCAUGGUAGUUUCUAAAAAGAAACUCCAUUUAAAUUAGUCCUAGGAAAUGUCAUCAUUCAUUUAAAAGAAAGGUGCAUUUAUUUAAUCAUCUGCGUCUUUGUUUUAUUUACAAUUCAUCCUUUGGCCCAAGAUGGAUUUGACUCAAUUCAUUUAUUCUUAUAUGUUGCUUUGUAAAGAAGGAGAUGGUAAGGAGAGAAGAAGCCCAAUGCCAUUUUUACUGAUAGGAAACUUAGUGGCCACUGGACGCUACAAACCUCUGUAAAGGAUGAUUCUACAUGUCUAUAGCUUUAUCCUUUUGCUGUUGUUUGGAUGUUUCCAAGAAGAGAUGGAUGAAAUGAGAUGACUAUGGCUAAUUUGCAUUAAAAAGACUCUCUUAGAGUGGCAGGUCUGCCCAAGAAGAUCGCAAGUUCAAUAUAAAAGGUCAGAAAUAUUUGUCUACCAACCACGAUAGUGUAGCUAAGGAGUGCUGGGAUUGUUCCUGCUGGCCCAGGAAGCCUUGAUUUAUGAAUGCAUUCUUCUUCUUCUUCUUUUUAAAGAAAAGUUGUGACCAACCCUUUUGUGCCAGCAGGAGAAAAGAAUAAGACUUGACCUCCUUUGUUCCAACAACAGUCUGCAACUGCCUCUUUCCAUUGUCACAAUGUGUAUCAUCUGUCAGUCGUCAGCUCUCCUUCCAGGACUGAGCUGCAUUCUCCUUGUGUUAUCACUUUGUUACAUGGUGUCUUUUCUCAUCUGGUUUUGGAAUUUAAAGGGAAAAUAAAAGACCAUGAAAAAUG